AAUUCUCAACCUUCGGCUUUAUUGACGAAGGCUUGGACUUGGAGGUCGUGCCGGCUCUCGUAGUCGGCUCCUCUGAAAUGCAUUAGUGCGAACGUUACCAGCCGCUUCAGCGUGAUAAUUAUCUGCGUUGCUGUGGAGGGUAUUCUAGUGUUCGCGCUUCUAACCGUCUUCGGACAAAUUUCUGAA
rnacentral:misc_RNA from 1 species